rnacentral:lncRNA from 1 species
UUUUUUUUUUUUUUUUUCAGGGUCUCACUCUGUCACCCAGGCUGGAGUGCAGUGGUGCCAACAUGGCUCAGUGCAGCCUUGACUUCCUGGGCUCAAGCAAUCCUCCCACCUCCAUCUCUCAUCUAGCUGGAAACACAGGUGUGCUAAUGUUUUUAUUUUUUGUAGAGACAGGAACUUACUUUGUUGCUCAGGCUGGUCUCAAAUUCCUGGGCUCAAGCGAUCCUCCUGUCUCAGCCUCGCAAAGUGCUGGAUUCUAGGCGUGAGCAUCAGCACCUGGGCACAAGCUUUUUCUUAAGCACUAAACGAUGCUGCCUAUAUUCAUUUUCUGGGUCUGCCACAAUAAAUGCCAACAAACCAGGUGUCUGAAACCACAGAAAUAUGGUCUUUCAAAGUUCUGGAGAGUAGAAGUCCAAAAGUGAGGUGCGGGCAGGACCACCCUCCUCUGAAGCCCCCAGGAAGGCGCCUUGCCCAGCGCCUCUCAGGCGACUUCAGUCCUUGGUGCUCCUUGGCUUGGAGCAGCAUCGCCCUAGUCUUGGUCUCCAUCUUCACGCGGCCUUUCCCUGUGCAUCCCCCACUUAUAAGGUCACAGCCAUUAGAUUUAGGACCCACCCUAAUCCAAGAUGACCGCAUCUGAACCUGAAUACAUCUGCAAAGACUGUUUUUCCAAAUAGGGUAACGUUCACACAUACAGAGAGUUCGGGCUUCCAUCUACCUUUCUGGGGACUCAACUCAGCCCACCACAGAGCUCAGGCCUGCCCCAGGAAUGCUGUGCCCUUGGGCUGCUCCAGGCUGGAAGGGCGCAGGAAGCAGAGCCGGCCUCCAGGGCUCCGCCAGGGACCACACUCCAGCCCAUGCACCGGGGACCCAAGACAGCCCAGCGGGAGGACAGUUGGAACAGAGACUCUGAUGACCGUGGGAACAGCUUGCACACCUCUGUGCCGCUCUGAGUGUGACCUGCUCCAUCCCUUCACUUGAUUUGUCCUCUGUAUCUGGAAGCAUCCUCUCCACAGUGCAGUGGUUUCCCUGUGAGGCUCCUGGGUUAUUCCCGAUGAUUUGCUUUGCUGCCCAGCACAAAGGCUAGCAUUUAUAGUCACUCUCCAGAGAGACCCCUAAGACCCAACUAAAGCAGAAUCACAACAGAAGCCUAGAGAGGUUGCCUGGCAACGACUCCCUAUUGUGCCUAUUGUGACCUCGUCUUCCCCGGCCUCCUGCAGUGCCCCUGUGCACUGCCACUGUCAUCGGCCUGAGGUGCAUGCCAGUAUGGGCCUUCCCACAGUUCUGUGCCCUGUCCCCUUCCUCCCAGGGACUAAAGACCCUGGAGGAGCUUGGAAUGCCAGGCUUCCAGAGCCUGACUCCUGCCCAUUACACACUGCACAGCAAAGUCCGGGUUCUAUGUUCCAUUGCCGCCUGGUCACCUGGUCCCUGCCCUGUUGUUCCUCUUUUGCAGGACUUGCCUUGGCUCUCUUGUCCUCAGUCUACGUCUUGUCUCAAACAAAGGCCCUCCCCAGACACAGUGCGCUCCACAGUAGUGACAUGUGAACAACUACACAUCCCUGAUUUCCAGGAACACUUGUGAAUUCACGUAUUCACCCUCCAUUUUAAAAAGUCACAUUUCCCAUGCAGUGCUGGGUACAGCAUUUAAAGCAUAUCUCCCGGACUGCUGUGUGCUCUGGGCAGCUGCCGGAGACCAUGGCAGGAUGUGUGCCACUGUCACAGAUGAAUAACCCCUUCUUAGCAUACUUUGCAAUAUAAUCAAAUCCCAUCAUGCCUGUUUGGUGAUGUUAAUUCCAGGAUUCUAUUCUAUUCUAUUCUAUUCUAUUCUAUUCUAUUCUAUUCUAGUAAGAAUACAUGAGAUCUAUCCUCUUAAAAUGCUAAGUGUCCACUGCAGCAUCAUGACUAUGGGUGUGAUGUUCUGCAGCGGAUCUCUAGAGCUCAUUCAUUUGGCUUAAUUAAAACUUAAUGCCUCUCAUUUCCCCUCCCUGAGCCCCUGGCAGCCACCUUCCCACUCUUUGGUUCUAUGAGUUUCACUGCGUUAGCCAGCUCAUAUAAGUGGAAUCCUGCAGGAUUUGUCCCACUGUGACUGGCCUGUGUCACUCAUCCGUGUUGUCGUGGUUUGCAGAAUUGUCUUUGGUAAGGGCGAAUAGUAUUUCAAUGGCUGUACGCACCAUGCUUUCUUUAUUCGUUCACGUGUAGAUGGACGUUCAGGCUGACUCCACAUCUUAGCUGUUGGGAAUGAACGUGGGAGUGCAGACAUCUCCUGGAGAGCCUCAUUCCAAUAAUUUGGAUAAACACCCAGGAUAGACUAAUGCAGCUGUGGCAGGGGUUCAACAGCAGGCUUGGUGGGGCUGAGGGCAGGAUUCUGCGUAGAGCUCCAGGGCAGGCACAGGGCACGAAGAAGGAACGUGGGCUGGGGGUGAAGAAGCAGCUGUCUGAGGGUAGGGCUCUGGUUACACCUGGUCCCCCAGCCUCAAACCAGCAUUGUUGCAGGCUCCUCCCAAGUCCAAUGAGCCACAGGCCUGCCCUGGAUGCCAGUGUCCAUACCAUCACCACUGUCUUGUUCAGGCUCUUUAAUUCCUUCUUGAAAGCAUUGCAGAAGGCCCCCACCUCCAACCCCGCUUCUAAUCUCUUCCUCUCCUUUGACCUUCCACAAGGAGAAGGCUUGUGGAAGCCUCAAAACCUGAACAUGUCUCUCCUGAUUGUGAAACUCCACCCAGUGUUCUUGUUACCCAAGGGGAGUCCAGACCUGGGCACAUGUGCACAGAGGCCCCUACCUGUCCAUCCUCAGCCC